CGUGUGUGAAGAAGGCCUUCGGGUUGUAAAGCACUUUCAGUCGUGAGGAAGGUGGUGUAGUUAAUAGCUGCAUUAUUUGACGUUAGCGACAGAAGAAGCACCGGCUAACUCCGUGCCAGCAGCCGCGGUAAUACGGAGGGUGCGAGCGUUAAUCGGAAUUACUGGGCGUAAAGCGCAUGCAGGUGGUUUGUUAAGUCAGAUGUGAAAGCCCGGGGCUCAACCUCGGAAUAGCAUUUGAAACUGGCAGACUAGAGUACUGUAGAGGGGGGUAGAAUUUCAGGUGUAGCGGUGAAAUGCGUAGAGAUCUGAAGGAAUACCGGUGGCGAAGGCGGCCCCCUGGACAGAUACUGACACUCAGAUGCGAAAGCGUGGGGAGCAAACAGGAUUAGAUACCCUGGUAGUCCACGCCGUAAACGAUGUCUACUUGGAGGUUGUGGCCUUGAGCCGUGGCUUUCGGAGCUAACCCGUUAAGUAGACCGCCUGGGGAGUACGGGUCGCAAGAUUA
rnacentral:rRNA from 1 species